UGUGAACUCUGGAAUCAUUCAGCUGCUAAUAAAUUUCAGCACUGACUUGAAAUCCUUAAAACUAAAUUAUUUAUUCUGCGGCAUUCCCUUCGUUUUAUGACUUUUUCUCCCUAGAAUCUCAUUUUUCAUGUGCGCAAGUUAGCCCACUCAAGUUAAGGGUUUAGGGUUUGAGUUUUAAGAUACGAAGAUGUACGCUGAUCAAGUGGAGGCUGCAGCCAUGUGGUCAGUUAAGGACCAUCUAAAAGGCAAUUCCACUCCUAACAACUUUACUCGCAGGCGAUCGAUCAUUGGCAAAAGGCAGAGGCAAGGCAACAAGUGGGAACAUAAUCUUUAUGACAGUGAUGAACGUCAAGUUUCAAGUAUGGAUUGACUACGAAACAAUAACUUGGAACUAAAUUGUUACUAUUCUUGGAUGCAAUUGUUGAGCUGUAUUUUAUCAUAUUAGGAAGGCUAUCAAACCAUCUUAGGAUAAAAUAUGUAUUUUAGGGUUUUGAUUUAAUUUGUUUCCUCCUAUAUCUUCUUUGUAACUGUAUAUUUAUAAUAUUAUGCACUUUAUCAAUAUAAAAAAACAAUAUUUUGAAUUC